GUGCUUACUUCAGUAGCACAUACGCUAAAAUUGGAACAAAACAUGGAAGAUUAGCAUGGCCUCUGCACAAGAAUGACACACAACUUCUUGCAGCAGUGUUGAUGAGACAAAGAACUGUAUUUUU
ensembl:snRNA U6 U6 spliceosomal RNA